GAGGGUGGCAUUUACGGCCGGGUUCUACCUGAUCCCAUCCCGAACUCAGAAGUAAAAACGGUUCGUGCCGAUGAUACUCUCACGCAUGUGAGUUGGGAAAGUAGGCAGUCGCCCACU
rnacentral:rRNA from 1 species